UACGAACUGUGCAAACGUUAUUCGGAAUCACUGGGCUUAAAGGGUGCGUAGACGGCUAUCUAAGUCGGGUGUGAAAGCCCCGGGCUCAACCUGGGAAUUGCAUUCGAGACUGAAUAGCUAGGGGUACGGUAGAGGGAAGCGGAAUUUCCGGUGUAGCGGUGAAAUGCGUAGAUAUCGGAAGGAACAUCAGUGGCGAAAGCGGCUUCCUGGACCAGUACCGACGUUCAGGCACGAAAGCGUGGGGAGCAAACAGG
rnacentral:rRNA from 1 species